UUUCUUUUAUGGAGAGUUUGAUCCUGGCUCAGGACGAACGCUGGCGGCGUGCCUAAUACAUGCAAGUCGAGCGAACCAAUUGAAAGCCUAG
rnacentral:rRNA from 1 species